CCCGGAUAAUUGAAGUCUCGGCUGCAUCAUCAAGCUUCAACAUUGUUGAUUCAUCAUAUAAAUUGUAGAUUUUUCAAGAUUGGCUCAUUAAGUCACACGGUUUCAUGCCUUGACGCAUAGUAUGAAUCAUUAUGGUUUAGUCGAAGUCUACAUCAAAUCAAGCUAGGAAGUCUAGAAACUCAC